rnacentral:ncRNA from 1 species
CAGGACAGUGAACAUGGAAGUCGGAAUCUGCUAAGGAGUGUGUAACAACUCACCUG